rnacentral:lncRNA from 1 species
CCUUAUUACAUUUAAAAGCCCAAAACCUCAAACAUAAUUAAAAGGAUGUCCAAUUCACCAGAAGAAAACCAAACUUUCAGAACGGGUGGCCACUCCGAAUUCCCUCACAGCUCCAAGCCCACUAUGGUUGGGGAUUUCCUGCGUGGAUGAAAAUAAAAUGGGUGAGUUUGGGGAAACUCAGUGUGUAAGGAAAACCCAUUCAAAGCCCAAGUCAGCUCAAGCCCAUUGGGCCUAAGCCCAUUCAGGUAACAGUGGUACUGGGCCAGAGCCCUUUUCAGAUUACAAUAAACUGGGCCUUAGCCCUUUAUUCAGAUAACAGUAUGGCCCAUAGGCCCAUUUGGAAAUACAUGCAACAUCAAUAACAUAUGCAAGCCCAUUUGGGGAGACUACUCAACCCACCAACCACUACACUCCACCCGUACCAGCCAUACACUCUAUGUGGGGAAUAGCUCAACCCACCCAGCCUAACACUCCACAGUUGCAGCCUUGCUGCUCAGUUAACAGUAAAUUGAGGCAAAGCCUCCAGUACGUGGACAAGCCACUUUCAGUACUUCCUCCAUCAAUAUCCCAAUCCCAUGCAUCAGAUAAUAACAACAUGGCAUGCAGUAAAUAACAACAGUCAAACAUGCAUUUAGGUCAAUUUAACCCUAGGGGUAUUUCGGUAAUUUAUCUACUAGGGGUAAAACUGUAAAUUUUUCACUUUUAAAGGUAUUUCAAUAAUUUAUCUAUUUUAGGGUUUUUCAUGCAUAUUCCUACUUUUCACGUACUAACAGAAUCACGUACCGAGGGUUCUUACCGAAUUGGGCCCGUUGGCCCAUCAUUCCAAUUUUGGCCCAUUAAGCCCCAAAAUAUCGAGGGCACAGAAAUCAUGCACUUUGCAGUCCAAACAUUGCAGCUUACCAAAAACAUUAAUCGAUUUACCUCACGAGCAUUCGCACACUCGCAAAUCUACAAAAUACCGGUUUUCGGCAUUUAGGAUUUUUGACUUUUGCCUAUCUAGACUAAGAAAGAGGGUGUUAGUUACGCACCUGUUUGCGACGAUAUGCUGACGAGAUCCACACACGAACCGCCUACAAUUGGAUUACUAACACGUUAAUCAACUAUUCAAAUACAAACUACGUAUUAACCCCUUACAAUAUUCGGCCAACCACACCUACAGAUCAUAGUAAGCUUAUAAGAAAUCAAUAAGCAACUCAUUAACAAAUUUUUGUCAAUGUUUACCACAUAAUCAUAAUUUCACUGCAAGCUGUCUUCCUGAGCAACAGUCACUAAAUUAUUUAUAACUGGAGCUACGAAAUUCCAAAUCAAGCGCCGUUAAUUUUCCCUGAAAAUAGACUCAUAUAUCUUCUAUCCAUAAAAUUUUCAGAAUUUUUGGUUUAGCCAAUAAAUACCAGAUUUUUCUCAAAGUUUCCCAUGUUUCACUAUUUGACUAAUCUGACCACUCUUCAUUACGAAUCAAAUUUAUAAUUGUACAGAAUUCAAAAUAUGUUCUUGUUUAUUCCAUUUGAAACUAGACUCAUUAAGCUUUAAUUACAUAAUUUAUUCAGCUUCUAAUUCAUCUCCCACAAUUUAUGGUGAUUUUCCAAAGUCACGUUACUGCUGCUGUCCCAAGCAGAUUUAUUACCAAAUCACUCUUUCACACAUACCUUGCAUGCAUGUUAUUUAAACAUGUAUAUCACCAAUCAAUCAUCACAUAUCUAUGAUUUUACUUAAGAAUAAUCUCCAUUUCAUCAUUUUAAAGCACAACAUGUUAGCUGAUUUUUUCCCUUUAACAUCUAAGGCACAUGCAUGCUCAUUUGUUUGGCUCAACUUCACCUAUCUUCCAUUUUUUUCAUCAAAAGAACAUGAAACAACAAUCAUUUCCUUCAUUUUAAUUCAUGACUAAAUGCUCACAACACAACUAAAAAUCAAAAUAUGCUUCAAGAGUUAAGGUAGAAUCAAGAAGAACUCAUGAACAUCAAGAUAGAAGCCAACUAUCAUGAACUUACCUUCAAUUUUCUUCCCCAAGUGACCGAUCACUCAAGAGCUUUCUCCUCUCCUUUCUCUUCUCUAACUUUCAGCUAUGAUGAACAAAGAUGGACAAAACUUUGUUCUUU